rnacentral:rRNA from 1 species
CGUGUAGGCGGUUUAGCAAGUCGGAUGUGAAAUCCCAGGGCCCAACCCUGGAACUGCAUCCGAUACUGUUAGGCUAGAGUCCCGGAGAGGAUGGCGGAAUUCCCGGUGUAGGGGUGAAAUCCGUAGAUAUCGGGAGGAACACCAGUGGCGAAGGCGGCCAUCUGGACGGUGACUGACGCUGAGACUCGAAAGCGUGGGUAGCAAACAGGAUUAGAUACCCUGGUAGUCC